UGCAGAUGCUAAUAGCUAUUCAAUUUUCUAGAUCGAUUCUUUUAAAACUUAUGCAAAAAAGAAAAAGGAAAGAAAGAAAAAGAAGAGGAAAAAGAAAGAACCAACAACUCUGUUUCUAAGAUUUUAAAGCGAUAGGCAAGUCGGAGAAGCCGAGAUUUAUUCGGGAAAAUCCAGAGCGCGCUAAACCAACCUGGCGUUGGGAAGACCAGCCCGCCUGCUUGGAUGAUGGGACUGUUGAUUCCUUCAAUUAAUGAAAUGCAUUUGGUGUUAAUCAUAUUUAUUUUACUUUAUGGGAGAGGGGGCCGCUAGCAGGGUGCAUUAAAAAAAAAUAAUAAGAUUCUAAAAAGCCUGCAAAAAGAUCGAAGAGUGAAAACUAUUGUUGGACCGAGUUGGUUUUUACCUCAACAGCGCCACCUUUCGGCAAAGCUUUGUGCCAGCUGCAGAUGAAAUUGAUGUGCUUCUCGUAGGAUUUCACUUCUCUGAAGCAGGUCCCUCAUCUGGAACAUCGGGGUAUUGCCAGGAUUAGAGAUGGUGCCAAGUAUCUUCUACCGUGCGAGGCCACAGAGGAGCUCCACAAAUGAGAAACCUGGGAAUGAGAGCAGGAAGGAGCCCCCGAGUUGUUUAUGACCUGCCGUCUGUGGUCUGUGUCCUGCCUGAG